AUUCAACUGACGAGUCCUAAACAGGACUAAAAACGCGUCCUGGAU
rfam:Schistosoma haematobium scaffold295_18, whole genome shotgun sequence.